GCCGAAAAUGAUGAGUGCUUGACUUAUUCUGACACCUCUUGUAUGAGAAGUGCUUAAAUUUUUUUAUAAAAAUUUAGGCUCUUCGCUGAGCAGAUAAAGCAACAUUCUGAGCC